GCCCGCCAAACAACUACGAGUUACACUUAAAACUUAAAAGACUUGACGGUACUUCACUACACCCUAGAGGAGCCUGUCCAACAACCGACGACCCGCGAUUAACCCAGCCCCCUCUUGCCUACAGUCUAUAUACCGCCGUCGCCAGCCUACCUUGUAAAAGAAAUAAAGUAGGCCAAACAGUACCCACACUAAAACGACAGGUCGAGGUGUAACUCAUGGGGAGGACCAAGAUGGGCUACACUCUCUCGCCCAAGAACACGGAAAACACUAUGAAAUUAGUCUUUAAAGGUGGAUUUAGCAGUAAGAUAGAAAUAAAACAUCUACCUGAACAUAACGCAAUGAAGUGCGCACACACCGCCCGUCAUCCCUGCUAUCACAGUACAAACCUUAAUAAACAAACUAAGAUAUCAAAC
rnacentral:rRNA from 1 species